GACGAACGCUGGCGGCGUGCUUAACACAUGCAAGUCGAACGGAAAGGCCCUGCUUUUGUGGGGUGCUCGAGUGGCGAACGGGUGAGUAACACGUGAGUAACCUGCCCUUGACUUUGGGAUAACUUCAGGAAACUGGGGCUAAUACCGGAUAGGAGCUCCUGCUGCAUGGUGGGGGUUGGAAAGUUUCGGCGGUUGGGGAUGGACUCGCGGCUUAUCGGCUUGUUGGUGGGGUAGUGGCUUACCAAGGCUUUGACGGGUAGCCGGCCUGCGAGGGUGACCGGCCACAUUGGGACUGAGAUACGGCCCAGACUCCUACGGGAGGCAGCAGUGGGGAAUAUUGCACAAUGGGCGGAAGCCUGAUGCAGCAACGCCGCGUGCGGGAUGACGGCCUUCGGGUUGUAAACCGCUUUCGCCUGUGACGAAGCGUGAGUGACGGUAAUGGGUAAAGAAGCACCGGCUAACUACGUG
rnacentral:rRNA from 1 species